rnacentral:snRNA from 1 species
GUGCUUGCUUAUGCAGGACAUAUACUAAAAUUGGAACAAUACAGGGACGAUUAGCAUGGCCCCUGCACAAGAAUGACAUGCAAACUUGUGAAGUGUUCCAUACUUAA